rnacentral:lncRNA from 1 species
AAAAGUUUGCACGGAAAAGAAAAUGCAUUAGGGGGAAAUGAAAAUGGAAUUAAAAAUGGCAGUAGGCAAAGGAUACACAAGCUCUAUGACUGGAGUCUUUAAGAGAUCAAUGUGGGAAAAGGAGAAAAUUAAAUGUCCGGCAGAUUGGAGGCGGCCUCAAGCACUGCUUAAAGACAAGGUCUCGGGUUGUGGCGGUGCACUGCUUGUAACAGCUACAUAUUUAGCCGAUGAGCGAACCAUAAACCUUCAGGAACUGCUUGAUCGCUUGCUGGUGAUGGAGAUUUAGCCGAUGAGCGAACCAACCCCUUCAGGAACUGCUUGAUCGCUUGCGGGUAAAGAAUGGCUUCAAGCAGUUCGUUAACCCGGCCUUGAAGAACUGCUUAC